rnacentral:rRNA from 1 species
CGCAUCUGUGCAUGCAGCAUAUCAAUAAGCGGAGGAAAAGAAACUAACAAGGAUUCCCUUAGUAACGGCGAGUGAAGCGGGAAGAGCUCAAACUUGAAAUCUUCAAGGUUUUACCUUGACGAAUUGUAGUUUAAAGAGGUGUUUUCUGCUGAAGUUUUGGUAAAAGUUCUUUGGAAUAGGACAUCAUAGAGGGUGAGAAUCCCGUAUUUGACCAUUAUUUUCAGCUGUGUGAUACACUUUCAAAGAGUCGGAUUGUUUGGGAAUGCAGUCCAAAAUGGGUGGUAAAUUUCAUCUAAAGCUAAAUAUUGGCGAGAGACCGAUAGCGAACAAGUACCGUGAGGGAAAGAUGAAAAGAACUUUGAAAAGAGAGUUAAACAGUACGUGAAAUUGUCAAAAGGGAAGCGUUUGACACCAGUGUUGUUUUCUCGAAAAUCAAUUAAAAAUGAGUUGGAUGUUGUGUUGUAUUGACCUUUAAUCAGCUUUCUGCACUUUUUUCCUAUGCUUUUUUAAUGCACUUUUCGUUUAACAAGUCAACAUCAGUUUCUUUUGUUGUAAAAGAGUCAUUGGAAGGUGGCUUUCUUUUCGGAGAAAGUGUUUAUAGCCUUUGGCUUCUGCAAUCGGAGAGAUUGAGGUCUGUAGCGUAGAUCCUUCGGGGUUAGAUGCAUUUGUGCUAAGUUAUAGCCUUUCAUAGACAACUUGUUGACUAUGAUCAGUCAUAUAGCUUACUCGCUUAUGUCAUUUUACCUACGCUUAGGAUGUUGAUAUGCAUGACUGAUAU